UACGUAGGGUGCAAGCGUUGUCCGGAAUUAUUGGGCGUAAAGAGCUCGUAGGCGGUCUGUCGCGUCGGCUGUGAAAUCCCGAGGCUCAACCUCGGGUCUGCAGUCGAUACGGGCAAACUAGAGUAUUGCAGGGGAGACUGGAAUUCCUGGUGUAGCGGUGAAAUGCGCAGAUAUCAGGGGGAACACCGGUGGCGAAGGCGGGUCUCUGGGCAAUAACGGACGCUGAGGAGCGAAAGCGUGGGGAGCGAACAGG
rnacentral:rRNA from 1 species